rnacentral:rRNA from 1 species
CGUGGAGGAUGACAGCCUGUGGGUCGUAAACUCCUUUUCUCAGAGAAGAAGUUCUGACGGUAUCUGAGGAAUAAGCAUCGGCUAACUCUGUGCCAGCAGCCGCGGUAAGACGGAGGAUGCAAGCGUUAUCCGGAAUGAUUGGGCGUAAAGCGUCUGUAGGUGGUUUAUUAAGUCUACUGUUAAAGAUCAGGGCUUAACCCUGAGUCGGCAGUAGAAACUAAUGAGCUUGAGUACGGUAGGGGCAGAGGGAAUUCCCGGUGUAGCGGUGAAAUGCGUAGAGAUCGGGAAGAACACCAAUGGCGAAAGCACUCUGCUGGGCCGAAACUGACACUCAGAGACGAAAGCUAGGGGAGCGAAUGGGAUUAGAUACCCCAGUAGUCCUAGCCGUAAACGAUGGAUACUAAGUGCUGUGCGACUCAAAACGUCCAGUACUGUAGCUAACGCGUGAAGUAUCCCGCCUGGGGAGUAUGCUCGCAAGAGUGAAACUCAAAGGAAUUGAC